ACUUUUGAGGGCGAGUUUGGUUGCCACAUCGAGCCCAACCAAGCCCGCGCGAUGCAGCAUCUUUAUGGAGGUGGGCUGUUUGAUUGCACGCAUAUACUGUUGGGCCUGCAUAGCACGGUUCUUAAAGCACCUCUGGGCUUGGCUCACUGGAAACGUUCGAAUCAGCAGUUUCUUGUGAGCCAGGCCCGAGCGAUGCUCUCGAGCGUACCUGGGUGGCUCGGCUCGUACGUGUUGACAGAUAAUCACCUCCCUAACCUUCCCUAAUCCCUCUCCUCUCUGAGCACCUCAUCUCUGAGCACACCCUCGCCUACUUCGCUCGCCGCCCCGGUCGCGCUUCCCGCCGCCCGCUGCCGGCGCAAGCGCGGGCAUCCCAUCGCCGGACCUCCGCCGAACUCGCCCUCACCGGAUCCGUCUGCGGGGACCGCCUCACUGCGACGGCCGCAGCGCUCAAGCAGGCCGGCCUGUCGGAGCUCCAGCGGGCGGCCCGGACGGGGGUCCCGGGCGAAACAGCGGACAACGCGGUCGGAGCUGGUGCGCGCGCACCUCCUGCUGACGCUGAAGCUGAAGCCGGACCGACGCGUGCACUCGUGGACGAGCACCGCGACCUGGAGCGGCUGGAGCCCGUGGACUCCUCCACGCUCAUGUGGCACCGCGACCUGGCCAUGAUCUACCCAAUUCUCUCGCACACUCCUCCACAUCCAUCAAAUGAUUAGGGAAAGCACGACACCGCGACCUGGAGCGGCUGGAGCUCAUGGGCGAGCGUCCGGCGCGGCUGCUGCUUCUUGGUCUUCUUGCUUACUUGCUGCUGCAGAACAACAUCACGGGGCGGCUGCCGCCGGAGCUGGGCGCGUCCACGGCCACGAGCCGGGCGCGGCCACGGUGCCGUGCGUGGACGAGUCCAGGUGGCGAGCGUGCCCAUGGUCGCCGGGAGCUGGCGGUGGACAUGAUGGGCAGAGGAAUCUCCGGCGCGCUCAACGUGUUCGACGAAAUGAGAUGCCAAACCUGGUGGGUGUUAAGCUUUGUUGUUAACUCCUAAUCAUAUGCAUGUAUGCAACCAAAUGCCGGGUGAAAAUUGCAUCCCAAUGACAAAACCCCUAAUGCAGGCAACCAA